rnacentral:rRNA from 1 species
GAGCGGGCGUAGCAAUACGUCAGCGGCAGACGGGUGAGUAACGCGUGGGAACGUACCUUUUGGUUCGGAACAACACAGGGAAACUUGUGCUAAUACCGGAUAAGCCCUUACGGGUGAAAGAUUUAUCGCCGAAAGAUCGGCCCGCGUCUGAUUAGCUAGUUGGUAGGGUAAUGGCCUACCAAGGCGACGAUCAGUAGCUGGUCUGAGAGGAUGAUCAGCCACAUUGGGACUGAGACACGGCCCAAACUCCUACGGGAGGCAGCAGUGGGGAAUAUUGGACAAUGGGGGCAACCCUGAUCCAGCCAUGCCGCGUGAGUGAUGAAGGCCCUAGGGUUGUAAAGCUCUUUGUGUGCGGGAAGAUAAUGACGGUACCGCAAGAAUAAGCCCCGGGUAACUUCCUG